rnacentral:rRNA from 1 species
UACAGAGGCCACGAGCGUUAGGCGGAAUCACUGGGCUUAAAGCGUGUGUAGGUGGAUGACUAAGUACCUUGUGAAAUCCCACGGCUCAACCGUGGAACUGCUUGGUAUACUGGUUGUCUUGAGGCACUCAGGGGCGAGCGGAACAGAUGGUGGAGCGGUGAAAUGCGUAGAUAUCAUCUGGAACGCCAAUGGUGAAGACAGCUCGCUGGGGAUGUACUGACGCUGAGACACGAAAGCCAGGGGAGCAAAGCGGG